rnacentral:rRNA from 1 species
ACCAUGAGAGUUGGAAAUACCCGAAGCCUGUGAGCUAACUUUUAGAGGCAGCAGUCGAAGGUAGAGCCAAUGAUUGGGUGAAGUCGUAACAAGGUACC